rnacentral:ncRNA from 1 species
AGUUUAGCCUGGUGUGUACCUGAAAAGGGAAGGAGAGAUUCUGGUCCCAAAUGAGGAUCUAAAUAAAAGCAGCAAAUGUGACAUCCCUGCAGCAUCCCCUUCCAGGGCUGUGUCAGGUGGGGAGUUUGGCUGGGGUGGUACCCCCAUCAAACUAUAAUGCAGGUCUCCUAAGGUGAACUUGGGGAGGAUGGAAACAUCUCAUGGAGGAGAAGGCAAAAGCUUGUUUGGUCUUGACUUUCAGUAUGAAUACAGACCACGAAAGAGGGGCCUCAUGAUCCUUCUGACUUUUUGGGAUUUACCCAAAAUCCCAAACAUCCCUAACUCAUAUUAUGUUUACGCCUGUAAAUUGUAAUUGUUAUUUUUCAGAAAAAGGUUUAGAACCAUUAGAGCUGAAAAUGGCAAA